rnacentral:rRNA from 1 species
CCUACGAGAGGCAGCAGUGGUGAAUAUUGGGCAAUGGGCGCAAGCCUGACCCAGCAAAGCCGCGUGAAGGAAGAAGGCUUUCGGGUUGUAAACUUCUAUUGUCAGGGAAGAGUAGAAGACGGUACCUGACGAAUAAGACACGGCUAACUACGUGCCAGCAGCCGCGGUAAUACGUAGGUGGCAAGCGGUGUCCGGAUUUACUGGGUGUAAAGGGCGUGUAGCCGGGUUGACAAGUCAGAUGUGAAAUCCUGCGGCUUAACCGCAGAACUGCAUUUGAAACUGUUGAUCUUGAGUACUGGAGAGGCAGACGGCAUUCCUAGUGUAGCGGUGAGAUGCGGAGAUAUUAGGAGGAGCACCAGUGGCGAAGGCGGUCUGCUGGACAGCCACUGACGGUGAGGCGCGAAAGCGUGGGGAGCAAACAGGAUUAGAUACCCGAGUAGUC